rnacentral:rRNA from 1 species
UUGAACGCUGGCGGCAUGGCUAAAACAUGCAAGUCGAACGCGAAAGGGAGCAAUCCCAAGUAGAGUGGCGUAAGGGCGAGUAAUACAUUCCUAACGUACCCCAAGGUCAGGGAUAGCUCGGGGAAACCCGAAUUAAUACCUGAUGAUCCUGGCUGGACCCAUGUCCGGCUUGGCAAAGGCUUGCUGCCUUGGGCUCGGGGAAUGUCCUAUCAGGUAGUUGGUGAGGUAAUGGCUCACCAAGCCUUAGACGGGUAGCGGGUGUGAGAGCACGGCCCGCCGCAUCGGGACUGAGACACUGCCCGGACUCCUACGGGAGGCUGCAGUAACGAAUAUUCCGCAAUGGGCGCAAGCCUGACGGAGCAAUGCCGCGUGGAGGAUGAAGCCCUUCGGGGUGUAAACUUCUGUCAGGGGUUAGAAACACAAUGAUCAACCCCAGAGGAAGAGACGGCUAACUCUGU